rnacentral:rRNA from 1 species
CCUACGGGUGGCAGCAGUCGAGAAUCAUUCACAAUGGGGGAAACCCUGAUGGUGCGACGCCGCGUGGGGGAAUGAAGGUCUUCGGAUUGUAAACCCCUGUCAUGUGGGAGCAAAUAAAAAAGAUAGUACCACAAGAGGAAGCGACAGCUAACUCUGUGCCAGCAGCCGCGGUAAUACCGAGGGCGCCAGCGUUGUUCGGAAUCACUGGGCGUAAAGCGUGCGUAGGCGGUUUCGUAAGUCGUGUGUGAAAGUCGCGGGCUCAACCCGCGGACGGCACAUGAUCCUGCGAGACUAGAGUAAAGGAGAGGGAACCGGAAUUCUCGGUGUAGCAGUGAAAUGCGUAGAUAUCGAGAGGAACACUCGUGGCGAAGGCGAGUUCCUGGACAUUAACUGACGCUGAGGCGCGAAGGCCAGGGGAGCGAAAGGGAUUAGAUACCCUAGUAGUC